UACGUAGGGUGCGAGCGUUGUCCGGAAUUAUUGGGCGUAAAGCGCGCGUAGGCGGCCCUGUAAGUCCGUUGUGAAAGUCAAAGGCUCAACCUUUGAAAGCCGAUGGAUACUGCAGGGCUAGAGUCCGGAAGAGGCGAGUGGAAUUCCUGGUGUAGCGGUGGAAUGCGCAGAUAUCAGGAGGAACACCUAUUGCGAAGGCAGCUCGCUGGGACGUUACUGACGCUGAGACGCGAAAGCGUGGGGAGCAAACGGG
rnacentral:rRNA from 1 species